CCUACGGGAGGCAGCAGUGAGGAAUAUUGGUCAAUGGACGAGAGUCUGAACCAGCCAAGUAGCGUGAAGGAUGACUGCCCUAUGGGUUGUAAACUUCUUUUAUAUGGGAAUAAAACGUUCCACGUGUGGGAUUUUGUAUGUACCAUAUGAAUAAGGAUCGGCUAACUCCGUGCCAGCAGCCGCGGUAAUACGGAGGAUCCGAGCGUUAUCCGGAUUUAUUGGGUUUAAAGGGAGAGUAGGUGGAUUGUUAAGUAAGUUGUGAAAGUUUGCGGCUCAACCGUAAAAUUGCAGUUGAAACUGGCAGUCUUGAGUACAGUAGAGGUGGGCGGAAUUCGUGGUGUAGCGGUGAAAUGCUUAGAUAUCACGAAGAACUCCGAUUGCGAAGGCAGUUCACUGGACUGCAACUGACACUGAGGCUCGAAAGUGUGGGUAUCAAACAGGAUUAGAUACCCGAGUAGUC
rnacentral:rRNA from 1 species